rfam:Salmo salar isolate Sally breed double haploid chromosome ssa25, whole genome shotgun sequence.
CACUCACUGUAGUGCAAGUUGCUUUAGAUAAAAGCAUCUGCUAAAUGGCAUCCA